rnacentral:lncRNA from 1 species
AUCAAAAGGACUAAAAAUAAUGCAUAAAGAAGAUUUAAAAGUAACUUUAAAUCCUUUAUCAUAUAAUUGACUUAUACUAAGCAAAUUAUGUUUCAAUCCAUCAACUAAUAAAACAUUAUCAAUAAAUGUAGAGGGAGUAAUACAUAUUUUACUAAUACCAAUAAUCUUUCUUUUUUCCAUUAUUGCGAAAUAUUACUAUUCCUUCUUUUCUUUCAAAAGUGAUAAACUGAUUUUUAUCACCCACCAUGUAUCUUGAACCGCCAC